rnacentral:piRNA from 1 species
UAUAUGUACAUGUAUGUAUAUGCUUGUGCG